CUGGCUGUCUUCGAUAGUCCGAGUUGUAAUCUAUAGACGUGUUUUCCGUGCUGGACCGUAUCUAAGUCCCUUGGAACAGGGUAUCAAAGAGGGUGACAAUCCCGUGCUUGAUACGACCACCAGUGCUCUGUGAUACACGCUCUACGAGUCGAGUUGUUUGGGAAUGCAGCUCAAAAUGGGUGGUAAAUUCCAUCUAAAGCUAAAUAUUGGCGAGAGACCGAUAGCGAACAAGUACCGUGAGGGAAAGAUGAAAAGCACUUUGGAAAGAGAGUUAAACAGUACGUGAAAUUGUUGAAAGGGAAACGAUUGAAGUCAGUCGUGUUCUUUGGAUUCAGCUAGUUCUUCUAGUCUACUUCCAUUGAACGGGUCAACAUCAGUU
rnacentral:rRNA from 1 species